ACGAAAAAGAGAUAUGAAGCCUACUCACUUCUUCCUUCAGCCAAUAACACGCACAGAAGAAAGAGGCUAGGUAAACAACUCCUAAGUCUUCCUCAUGGCCAAAACCAAGUUGCGGAAUAAGGAAAUAAUACUCUUAUUCUUUUCCUCCUCUUCACUCUAAAAAUUCUCAAGAAAUCAGCAACACAAUCUCAAUCUACAAAUCACGAGCUUUUUAAUAUGGCAAGUUUGACAAUUUAUUGUCAUAAUUCUUUUAAUCAAUUUUGGGAAUUAUCUCCCUUGCUCAUCACGGAUCUUAGUUACCAAUUGUAUAAAUUGGGACUCCUUCUACCCAAUUACAAACAACCAGUAUCACAAUAUUAAGGGUAGUGAGAUCGAGUUUAUAGUACAAGGGUGAUCGAAGAGCUACGGUGUCGAGGAUUAUUGGAGGCGAGUAUUCGAAAUUGUCAUAGGAUCGAGUGUAGCGGCUACCUUGUUAGGUGAUGAUGAUGACUCAACGUGAUCUAAAUGUUGCAUCGGGGACGAAGGGAGAAAUCACCUAGUUUAGGUUCACUAUUAUGAACUCUAGUAUGAGUACCAUUUCGAUUAUGUUUUAAAAACUAUUUCCAUUUUCAAUUAAUUAAUGAAAGUUAAUUAUGUA